AGGGGGAAAGCUCAGUGUUAGAGCAUGUGUUCAGCACGCACGAGGCCCUGGGUUCAAUCCCCAGGCCUCUG
rnacentral:tRNA from 1 species